GCCAAGGAGAUAAAAGGAUGGGGAAGGAGAGAGAAGGAUGAGUUCUUUUUGCUAGGACCAGCCUGGGGUAGGUAGAUCUCCAGGACAUAACGACUUACAUACGCAGGCCUUUCCUAUGCGAAUGUCAGUGAGAACAUUGCAGGAAAGAGUCCGGAAGUGUUUAUGAAGAGGAGAGGAGAGCUUACACUCUGGUCACCAUGCUAGGAAGGAUCUCCAAGCGCCGUUCUGCCAUCUCUCCCAGCGCAGCACAUCCAAGCUGCUUCUACACUAGUGAAUCUCUCACCUAGCCAGGCCUGCUUCAGUCCCAUGGAGGCUGCUUAAAAAAUCAACACGUCGGCCCCACCCCUGACCGAUGAGACCGAGAUGUCUGGAGCAGGGUCCUAGGCACCAGUGUUUGAAAAGCAAAAACCAAAACCUCUCCAGAGGAUUAUGACAGGUGGCCACAUUUGAGAAGCAGUGCUCAAAAAGCAGUUUUACCAAGUAGCAAGCAUGCUAAAUUUCUCAUGACAGAGCAAGGCAAAGAUUUUGCACAACAUUUCAUGCUUUUAUUCCUCCUCCUCGUAGCUCAUGUAAAUUGCAUUCUGAGCAUGGCAUGGCCUGUGUCUUCCAGAACCAUGCUGUCCUGUUGACUGUUUCUCUCAAGUCUGUUUUCUUUCAGGUGUCAUAUGGUUAGUGCCCAAGAACACGUGCCUGUGUGAUAGGACUCUCCCGGGGGGCCUUGGGGUCAUUAAGCUGUGUAUAGCAUCAAGUCAUCUCAGAAUCGUGAGAAACUUUGCCUCUCCCUUCCUGGGUGCUUCACUUCUAGCAGCUAGAUUGUAGCUGGACCAAGAAUUCAUAAAUAAAGGACAUUAGAAGCCCACUGAUGUAGACAGGUAGAGUAGGGUACAUGUGAUAGAGGUUCUUAAAAGUUUCACCUUAAUUCAAGAGGCAGGGAAGAACCAUUUGCAGUUCUUGAGUAGAAAAAGAAAAAAACAAAAGUAAUGUCUAUGGGAGGUCAGUGUGGUAGCACUGGCCCAGUGGAGUGUGGUUGGAGAAAAGAGCCUCAGAUUAAAAAAGGACAUUGGAGAUGUCCUUGGUGAUGACUUGGUGGCGUAUAGCACACAUAUCCAGUGGCUGCAGGGAGGAGAAGCAUGAUCCGGAAAUAAAGGGCCAAGGACAAUGAGACGGUUUCAGUAGGAGGGAUUGAAACGUCAGAAGGAGAGGAGGGGAUGGGUACCGGCUACAGAGACGCUGAAUGUUUUAGUUUUAACAGUGGCGUCUCAGGGGCUUGGGCUGUAGCUCCGUGGGAGAGCACUUGCCUCGCAGGUGUGAGACCCAGGUCGCCCCCCGGAAGUGUCAUCUCUGUGCCCGCCUCUGAAGCCGCCCUGUAGCACACUAACUCCCGCUGCGUGUCUUUAUUCCUUCCCCUUCCUCAGGAAGCUCACCAGACUCCCCGGGCUGCAGGGGAAUCCCAGGUGUCCCGAGGCCCUGGCUGCUUAAGGAUGAGCGGCAGAUGUCACGGAGCUGAGUAAACUUGAGUAGUUUCCCUGCAGGAUCCCCUCCAACUUUUCUCUGCCCAAGUUGCCGUGUCUUUUGUUGUCAAAUGAAGUUUCCACUGCAGAGAUGGAUGUGUUUGAGGACCCAGCCUCAGGAUUCCUUCGGGUAUUAUACUUAGCUUGCUAAGCCCCUCUGUCUCUGGCUGGAGGCAGGAAGAGAGAACCCAGGGAAACCUGAAACCCAAGGGAGAGGAAGAAAGGUCACCUGUCUAUAAAUAUCUCUUUCCGACCCCUCUGGCCAGCGGCCCCAGAGCCUGCCGUGUACCUCAGCAGGGCCUGCGGGACCGUGUGCCUCAGAAGUGCUUUCAAGGCGUGAAGGCAAGGCAGGGUCGGUCUUUGCUUUGGGGUUGCUCCAAGCCUGAACUUGCUUAGCUUCUCAAUGGGCUUCUCAUUCUUUUAGGAGUGAAAACGUCAAAGCGGGGUUUCUGGGCCACCCGCAGAUGAACACAGCCUGAUUCUGAGGGGACACCAGAACAGACGUGGGAGUGACGCGCACCUUCUAUAGGGAGCUGGACAUCUCGGGCCAUUUUGUGGAAUCACAAAAUAACACUGUAAUACCACUAAGUGGAAGGAGAGAAAUAAAGACACCUGACUUCUCAAUCGCA